CCUAAGCCUAAGUCUAAGUCUACGCCUAAGCCUAAGCCUAAGCCUGAGCCUAAACCUAAGCCU
ensembl:ncRNA C50E10.14 ncRNA